AAAACACAACCAAAGCUUUCUAUUAGAGAGAUAAAAAGAUAGAGAGAUAGAGAGAAAAAUCUUGUGAGAGAAAACUUCAGUGUGGAAGUUAUACACGAGUGAUAAAAGUGAGUCGAGAGAUAGCCUCUGUGUAGGCAAGAUACAAAAUACAGUGUGGUAUUGUUGUACUCCUCCUUUGUGAGAUUCUCUAAUAUAUUGGGGUGGGUCCGUGGACGUAGGCAGUUUGGCCGAACCACGUUAAAUAUCGGUGUCAUUAUUUUUUCCGUCUUAGAUAAUUUAUAUCUUUGAUAUUGCUUUCGAUUUGAUAAUGGGCGGAAUUAUUUGUGUAUAUUUCCCAACAACUGGUAUCAGAGCCACGUUUGUGGCGGUCUGAUAAUUUUCUUGUGCUGUUACUAUUCAUCGUGAAUAGUGAUUUCGUUGUGAACAGUGAUUGUUCUUUUGUAAUUCUUAGUAUGCUCUGUGGUUGCAGUAAUUACUGAACCUCCACAUCAGAAAAGAAUUACUUUGAGAAAAUUAUCUUGUUUAUCAAUUGGGAGCAGUUACGAUGGGCGACGGAAAGAUUACGAUUGAGAAGUUCGAUGGUACGGAUUUCGGUUUCUGGAAGAUGCAGAUCGAGGAUUAUCUUUAUGGAAAAGAUCUACAUCAGCCCCUCAAAGAAAAACCAGAUAAGAUGGAUCCGGACGAGUGGGAGCUGCUGGACAGAAAGGCGAUGAGUGCAAUACGUUUAUCGCUGUCCAGGAACGUUGCCUACCACACGACUGGAGCAAAGUCAACAAAGGAGAUGUUGGCGAUUCUGGCGGAGAUGUACCAGAAACCAUCAACUGCAAACAAAGUACAUUUGAUGAGACGAUUGUUCAAUCUAAAAAUGUCCGAGAGCACACCAGUGCAGAAUCAUUUGAACGAGUUCAAUAUGAUCACCACACAGCUGAGCUCGGUGGAGAUCGAGUUUGAUGAUGAAGUUCGUGCCCUAAUAUUGCUAUCUUCUUUGCCAGAAAGUUGGGCCGGAACAGUGACAGCAGUUAGCGCUUCAUCGGCAAAGGCAAAGUUGCGCUUUGACGAAGUAAGAGAUCUGAUGAUCAGCGAGGAGAUUCGCAGGAAAGAAUCUCCAUCUACUUCAGGGUCAGGGACUGCACUGAACACGGAAUAUCGAGGAAGAUCGAAAGGAAGGCAGAACAGGGGAAGGUCAAAGUCCAGAGGAAAGAGCCAAUCCAGGACGGAUAAGGGUUCAAUCCAGUGCUGGAACUGUGAAGAGUUCGGGCACUUUAAGAAUCAGUGUAAAGCGCCACCGAAGAAAAAGGAUCACAAAAAGACAGCGAACGCAGCCACAACAGAAGAUGUAGGCGAGGCGUUGGUCCUGAGCGUGACCAGUCCGAUGGAGUCGUGGGUGCUGGAUUCUGGAGCGUCUUUCCAUUCAUGCAGUAAUGAAGAUAUAAUUGAAAAUUAUGUCUCUGGCGAUUUUGGACAGGUGUAUCUUGCUGAUGAUGAGCCCCUGAAAAUCGUGGGAAAGGGAGACGUGCGAGUUGUGACAUCCAACGGAUCCGAGUUGAAGCUGAAUCAAGUCAGACAUAUUCCUGGACUGAAAAGGAACUUACUUUCAAUUGGGCAGCUUGAUGCAGAGGGCUACACAGUGACAUUUGGCUGCAGUAAUUGGAAGAUAAUCAAGGGAGCUAUGAUUAUAGCUCGUGGAAAGAAGGAGGGCACGUUGUAUAUGACAACUAACUCCAAAGAUUGCAUUGAUCUUGCAGGAGGAGUGAACAAUGCAGAUUUGUGGCAUUGUCGGCUUGGCCACAUGAGCGAAAAGGGGAUGAAGAUAAUGUGUUCGAAGGGUAGGCUGCCUGGCCUGGAAACUGUUGAAGUUGGCCUGUGCGAGGAUUGCGUGUUCGGAAAGCAGAAAAGGGUAAGCUUCUCGAGAGGCGGCAGAACCUUGAAGACGCAGAAGUUGGAGCUGGUCCAUAGUGAUCUAUGGGGACCGGCGCCUGUAAAAUCCCUUGGUGGCUCGGAAUACUACAUAACCUUCAUUGAUGAUUCCACUCGAAAGGUAUGGGUUUAUUUUCUUAAAAAUAAAUCCGAUGCAUUUGAUACUUUCAGGAAGUGGAAAGCCCUUGUAGAAACUGAAACAGGGCUGAAAGUAAAGUGUCUACGAUCCGACAAUGGAGGAGAAUAUGAACUUAAGGAGUUCAAAGACUACUGUGCUAAGAAUGGGAUUCGCAUGGAGAAAACCGUGAGAGGAACUCCCCAGCAGAAUGGUGUAGCAGAACGGAUGAACAGAACACUAAAUGAGCGAGCAAGAUGCAUGAGGCUGAAAAGUGGGUUGCCUAAGAUGUUUUGGGCAGAUGCAGUUAACACAGCUGCAUACCUAAUCAAUAGAGGUCCAUCAGUUCCAUUGGAGUUUCGGAUACCUGAGGAAGAAUGGACAGGAAAAGAGGUAAACCUAUCUUUCUACGCAUCUUUGGAUGUGUUGCUUAUGCUCAUAUUGAUCAUGUUAAUAGAAGCAAGUUAGAUGCUAAAUCUCUUAAGUGUACGUUCAUUGGUUAUGAUGGAGACGAGUUCGGUUAUAGGCUCUGGGAUGAGCAGAACCGAAAGGUUAUUCGAAGUAGAGAUGUGGUUUUCAAUGAACAGGUGUUGUACAAGGAAAGAGUGAAAGCAUCUAGCCCUGGCAAUUCUGAUUCCCAAGUAGUCGAGUUAGACAUCUCAAACUCGAGUGGGAGCAAGGAGAGCCAGAAUUUUGAAGAGGUUCCAGAUGAGGAGCCAAGAACCCCACCACCAAACAAUUCGCUGCCAAGACCGGUUAGAGAGCGACGUGCACCUGAUAGGUACUCGCCCUCUAACUUUUAUUUACUACUUACUGAUGGUGGUGAGCCCGAAUGCUAUACAGAGGCAGAUACUGGUAGUAAUAAGCGGAUAUGGAGAGGUGCUAUGGAUGAUGAGAUUGCAUCUCUUAUCCUAAACGGCACCUGGGAACUUGUAGAGCUCCCGAAGGGGAAGAAGGCAUUGCAUUGCAAGUGGAUCUAUCGAAUCAAGAUUGAAGCUGAUGGUAGCAAACGCUACAAGGCAAGGCUGGUUGUCAAAGGGUUUCAGCAACGAUACGGUAUUGAUUAUACCGAUAUUUUUACUCCUGUUGUGAAACUGACCACUAUUCGUUUAGUGUUGAGCAUGGUAGUUGCAGAAAACUUAUGUUACAUCAGAUGGAUGUAAAGACAGCGUUCCUUCAUGGUGAUUUGGAGGAAAACUUGUACAUGACACAGCCCGAGGGAUUCGUGGUGAAAGGAAAAGAAAAAUACUUGUGUGCAAAUUGAAAAAGAAGCUUGUAUGGCCUGAAGCAAGCUCCGAAGCAGUGGUAUAAGAAGUUUGACAGUUUUAUGUUGGAGAUUGGCUACGCGAGAUGCCACGCUGAUCAUUGUUGCUACUACAAGAGGUUCGACAAAAGUUAUCUUAUCCUUUUGCUAUACGUUGACGAUAUGUUGAUCGCAGGAGCUGAUGCAAAGGAAAUGGAUAAGUUGAAGAAGCAAUUGUCUGAACGAUUCUCCAUGAAAGAUCUUGGAGAGGCCAAUCAGAUUCUUGGCAUGAGGAUCAAAAGAGACAAGGCGGCAGGAAAGUUGUAUCUUUCACAAGCCAACUACAUUGAGAAGGUAUUGGAAAGAUUUAACAUGCAUAAUUCGAAGCCGGUGAACAUCCCGUUGGGUUGUCACUUCAAGCUGUCGAAGAAGGAGUCGCCAUGUACAAAGGAGGAACGUGCCGAGAUGAUAAAAGUUCCUUAUGCAUCGGCAAUAGGCAGCAUUAUGUACGCCAUGGUGUGUACAAGGCCAGAUAUUGCGCAUGCAGUGGGAGUAGUAAGCCGAUUCAUGGGUGAUCCGGGCAAGCAACAUUGGGAAGCAGUCAAGUGGAUUCUUCGUUACUUAAGAGGUACCACGGACAAGGCUUUAUGUUUUGAUGGCAAGAGUGCCAAGUUGGUUGGCUAUGUUGAUGCAGAUUUGGCAUCAAAUGACCUGGAAGGUCGGAAGAGUACAACCGGGUAUGUAUUUACUUUUGGUGGUACUGCUAUUUCUUGGUCUUCUAAGUUGCAGAAGAUUGUCACGUUGUCUACUACGGAAGCUGAGUAUGUAGCCGUGACGGAAGCAAGCAAGGAGAUGGUAUGGUUGCAGAAUUUCUUGGGAGAACUUGGGAAGAAGCAUGAGAAUAGUACACUCUUUAGUGACAGUCUGUCAUAUCCCAGUUUUUAAUCAUUGAUUAAAGACUUAAUAAUUAGGGUUCGGCAUCCAUUAAUAAUAAAAAUGAUUUGAUUUAUCAGAUGUCAUUUAAUUGUUUUAUAUGUGUCUUGAUGUGCUUAAUUCUUAUUAUUCUUGUACUCCGUUUGUAUGUUUAAAGGUAUUAUUGUAGAUUGAAUUGUUCAUUAUUUGGUUUUCUAACUGACUUAGUCAGAGAUGUUGUUUCGUUUAUCUAGGUUUGAAAUAGAUUUCUAUUAUUCUUGAAGUGGUAAUUGUUUUUCGACUUAUGUAGGUAGUUAUCAACUAUGUCCUUUAUGUGCGUUCUACGACGCUUUGUUAUCUAGCACCUCUUUAUUUUUGCCUAUACAGAGGCUUUUCUCAUCAUUUGAUCUAGCACCUAACAUUUCCACAUCCUUCUUACUCUUGAAUAGAUUGAUGGUGUUGGAGAGAUAUAUAGCCAAUCUUGUGAGUGAACACUUCAUGUGGCAGUUAUCCGAGUAAACAGUGAUUUUCGAGUUAGCCUCUUCUUCGGCAGAUUCAUCAUUCAGUGUGGAUUGUUUACUCCUUCUUUUUGAGAUUCUCUAAUAUAUUGGGGUGGGUCCGUGGACGUAGGCAGUUUGGCCGA
rnacentral:lncRNA from 1 species